UUUUCCUACGGGACGCAGCAGUGAGGAAUAUUGGUCAAUGGCCGCAGGGCUGAACCAGCCAAGUCGCGUGAGGGAUGACGGUCCUAUGGAUUGUAAACCUCUUUUGUCAGGGAGCAAAGGGCGCCACGUGUGGCGUUUUGCGAGUACCUGAAGAAUAAGCACCGGCUAACUACGUGCCAGCAGCCGCGGUAAUACGUAGGGUGCGAGCGUUAAUCGGAAUUACUGGGCGUAAAGGGUGUGCAGGUGGUUUUGCAAGAUGGAUGUGAAAGCCCCGGGCUUAACCUGGGAAAGCCAUACAUGACUGC
rnacentral:rRNA from 1 species